rnacentral:rRNA from 1 species
GAUGAACGCUCGCGGUAGGCCUAACACAUGCAAGCCGAGCGGUAUUGUUUCUUCGGCAAUGAGAGAGCGGCGUACGGGUGCGUAACACGUGUGCAACCUGCCUUUAUCUGGGGGAUAGCCUUUCGAAAGGAAGAUUAAUACUCCAUAAUAUAUUGAACGGCAUCGUUUAAUAUUGAAAGCUCCGGCGGAUAGAGAUGGGCACGCGCAAGAUUAGCUAGUUGGUGAGGUAACGGCUCACCAAGGCGAUGAUCUUUAGGGGGCCUGAGAGGGUGAUCCCCCACACUGGUACUGAGACACGGACCAGACUACGACGGGAGGCAGCAGUGAGGAAUAUUGGUCAAUGGGUGCAAGCCUGAACCAGCCAUCCCGCGUGAAGGACGACUGCCCUAUGGGUUGUAAACUUCUUUUGUAGAGGGAUAAACCGACCCUAGAGAGGGUAGCUGAAGGUACUAUACGAAUAAGCACCGGCUAACUCCGUG